rnacentral:tRNA from 1 species
GGAGAAGUCGGUGGCAGUGGUUGCCACGCCGGUCCCGAAAAUCGGUUGCUCCUGUGAAAGCAGGGCCGGGUUCAACUCCCACCUUCUCCG